rnacentral:misc_RNA from 1 species
GAAAACAUGUACAGAGGAGGAUGCUUUCCAGGUAGCAGCAGAGGAUGAAAAACUCUCCAAAUACUUAACAGGGCAACCAGUCAAAAAGCGAAUCUUCGUUCCCGGCAAAAUCUUGAACGUUAUAUUGGAUCGUCAAAGCUCCAUAGUGGCCCGCUGAUCGUGUAAAACUUGCUUCAAUGACAUAAAUCUCUUCCAGAAGAUAUAAGCCAAUGCACGAACACAACAUAUUUU